rnacentral:rRNA from 1 species
AGAGUUUGAUUAUGGCUCAGGAUUAACGCUGGCGGCGUGCCUAAUACAUGCAAGUCGAAUGGUAGUAGCAAUACAAACCAUGGCGAACGGGUGAGUAACACGUAGGUAACCUGUCUUUAAGACGAGGAUAACCAUUGGAAACGAUGGAUAAUACUGGAUAGGACAUCAUAAAGGGCAUCCUUAGAUGUUUAAAGAUUAUUAUGUCACUUAGAGAGGGGCCUGCGGCGCAUUAGCUAGUUGGUGAGGUAAGAGCCCACCAAGGCGAUGAUGCGUAGCCGGACUGAGAGGUUGAACGGCCACAAUGGAACUGAGAACGGUCCAUACUCCUACGGGAGGCAGCAGUAGGGAAUUUUCGGCAAUGGGCGCAAGCCCUGACCGAGCAACGCCGCGUGAACGAAGAAGUUAUUCGUAAUGUAAAGUUCUUUUAUCUGGGAAGAAAAAACAAAUUGACGGUACCAGAUGAAUAAGCUCCGGCUAACUACGUGCCAGCCGCCGC